CGCGUAGGCGGCCGAUUCAAGUCGGGUGUGAAAGCCCGGGGGCUCAACCCCGGAUGUGCACUCGAGACUGACUGGCUCGAGGGAUGGGAGAGGAUGGUGGAAUUCCCAGUGUAGAGGUGAAAUUCGUAGAUAUUGGGAAGAACACCGGUGGCGAAGGCGGCCAUCUGGACCAUUUCUGACGCUGAGGCGCGAAAGCGUGGGGAGCAAACAGGAUUAGAUACCCUGGUAGUCCACGCCGUAAACGAUGAGUGCUAGACGUUGGGGCGCGUAGCGCUUCGGUGUCGCAGCUAACGCAUUAAGCACUCCGCCUGGGGAGUACGGCCGCAAGGUUAAAA
rnacentral:rRNA from 1 species